AUUGAACGCUGGCGGCAGGCUUAACACAUGCAAGUCGAGCGGGGUGAUGGUGCUUGCACUAUCACUUAGCGGCGGACGGGUGAGUAAUGCUUAGGAAUCUGCCUAUUAGUGGGGGACAACAUCUCGAAAGGGAUGCUAAUACCGCAUACGUCCUACGGGAGAAAGCAGGGGAUCACUUGUGACCUUGCGCUAAUAGAUGAGCCUAAGUCGGAUUAGCUAGUUGGUGGGGUAAAGGCCUACCAAGGCGACGAUCUGUAGCGGGUCAGGGAGGAUGAGCCGGCCAACGGAGACUAGGACACGGCCCAGACUCCUACGGGAGGCAGCAGGGGGGAAUAUUGGACAAUGGGGGGAACCCUGAUCCAGCCAUGCGGCGUGUGUGAAGAAGGCCUUAUGGUUGUAAAGCACUUUAAGCGAGGAGGAGGCUCUUUUGGUUAAUACCCAAGAUGAGUGGACGUUACUCGCAGAAUAAGCACCGGCUAACUCUGUGCCAGCCGCCGCCGUAA
rnacentral:rRNA from 1 species